GGCAGGAUCCAAAACUCCGGACCAGCCCCUGCCAGAGGGAUUGAGGAAAAUGAAACGGUCGAAACUUACAUUUCAAAAGGCCUAGCUAGAUGGAAGGACGGGAGCCGAAAUAAUGAUUAAUCAGUGUGCUGUGCUACAUCCAGGAGAUAUUUUUUCUUUGGUCUACAUUAAGUAGCAAAGGUUUGAAAUGUUUCCUUCAAUCAAGUGAUGAUCCUAACCGUGUUUAUUGAUUACGCCACUUCCUGCAGCUGAGCUCAGCACUGAUAGCACUUUGGUGCAUCCCACUGGCCUGACCUUUGCCCUCAUGGAGCGGAUAAGGAAGUGUCAGCGGGAACAGGCAAUGUCACGUUGGGUCUCAGCCUGAUUCCUGGCUGCUCCAUUGCAUUUCUGUUCCUGCCUGUAUGGAAUCCUCCACAUGUGUUUCCUGUUGUUUUUCACACUUGGAGCACAGCACACCAAAGCAGGGCCCUUUCCCCUCAAUCUUUGUUGGGCUUGGCCUCUGGGAAAGGCUUAAAUUUAGGUGUGGAUAAUAGAGAGAUAUAUCACCCUUGAACUUUUUUGUAACAUGACUAAUACAACUGAGACUCGUUAUGAUCAUCCUAGCCUUUUACUGUCCAUUUUAUAUUUUGAGAUCAUAAUGGCUUACAACUUUGUAAAGUUGUGGGGAAAGAUCCAACUCGGAGCAAAAAAUAUAUAAAUAUACAAUUAAAAUGUAAUUCAGCACUAAAAUAUGUGCCAACAAAUAAUACUUUCAAUCACCUGUUUGAUUAUUGAUAGCUUUGCCUGCCAUUGGUUGUCAAUGAGUUUAAUAUUGUGGCUUUGACUGAGGUUUUUCAUGAACGCACAAAGCUCCAGUUAUGUGCAAAGUGCAUCAAACGCGUUUUUCCAUCUGCCAUUGAUUAGCAGAAUACUUCCUGGAUCAUGCAGGGUGAUGUAAGACAGACGACGCAAUUGCUUAUUUUUCCAUUCUAUUGACAACAUGGUGACUCAGCAUCUUAACUUUGUCAGCAUCGUCCAAAAUUGAUUUGCGUUUUGUUUUCCAUGGACCAUGGAAAAAUUGUCUUUUUUGUGAUGUCUGGGUGCACGAGUCACUUUAGUGCGUACUCAUGUUUGAUCUUUGACAUAAAAUAAAAAUAAGCGUAAAAAUAAGGUAAACAAGAAAUAAAAAAGAGGCUACAAGGAGUUUAAAUUGACUGCAAUUUAUCUUGUUUGGGCACGAUUUUAGCAUUCAGAUUAGGGACCAACAUUGAAGAGCAAUUAAUGAUGAGAUUAAUGAAGCACUGUAAAAGACAAUGGUAAAAACUAAAAACGUUGGACUUUAUCGCAGUUUAACAGCUGGCUUCGUGAUGGAUUGUUGAAAAAUACACAAAGUAUCACAAAGAUUUUAGCAUGUCCCACUUUAAGAAAGAGUCGACAUCAGAGAGUGGAAAUUGGACUAUUCUGACCUAAUUAUCUCCAGGAUAGUGCCAAAGCCAGGCUGUUUAUACGGCCUCUGAUUUUUCCAUAAAAUAUGGAGCUUGUAGAGACUUUAUUAGAAGCAGCCGGGCUCAUCUGCUCUCUCUCAGGCUGUGGUUCGUCUACUGGGACUACAGCUCUUUCAACUGAAAGAACAGCAAAACCAGAAAACCUCCCCCACCUUGACAGAUCACGGCUCUCGCAUU